ACCCUAAAACAAAUAUUUACUUAUACCAAAAAUAAUGAAAGUUGGUGUCACCAUAAAGUGCCAGUAAGAAAGCAACACAAAAUCGUCAAAAUGAGACGAGGACUGAGUUAAAUCUUUCAGGUGAGCCUCAAGUGGUUUGUAUGAUGUCGGGCGAGGAACGUUCAGCACUGCUUGUAAUUCAAAGAAAAUAGUAUGCCAUGACAUGAAGAGGAAAAAGUCUAAAAGAAAAAAAAAAAAACGAAGAAAAGAAGAAAAUCCCAAUACACGUGUAUGUAUGUGCCUCUGUCUCUGUUGUAUACAUAUAAACAAACAACCACAUUUGCCACAAGGAUCUUGAAUCCUGAUUCCCGACACGAAGACCAAUAAAAGCCGCAUGAUGAUAAA